rnacentral:rRNA from 1 species
UACGUAGGGGGCUAGCGUUGCUCGGAAUCACUGGGCGUAAAGGGUGCGUAGGCGGGCCUUUAAGUCAGGGGUGAAAUCCUGGAGCUCAACUCCAGAACUGCCUUUGAUACUGAAGAUCUUGAGUUCGGGAGAGGUGAGUGGAACUGCGAGUGUAGAGGUGAAAUUCGUAGAUAUUCGCAAGAACACCAGUGGCGAAGGCGGCUCACUGGCCCGAUACUGACGCUGAUGCGCGAAAGCCAGGGGAGCGAACGGG